GGAGGAGAGAUUGACAUUCAUCACAUACACACAAUGCACCGCUUGCACACAGAAAAACACACAAUGCAUUACACACACAGACACACAUACACAAGCAAUGCAACCGUUACACACAAUGCAUCCCUUACACACACAGAAACACACAAUGCAUUCAUUACACACACUCAAUGCACCCCUUACACACAUUCAAUGCAUCCCAUACAUACACAGAAACACACCUUGCAGUCCUUACACAUACAAACACAAUUUCACACAAUGCAUUCCUUAC